CUCCCGAGUGCUUGCACUCAAUUGGAAAGAGGAGUGGCGGACGGGUGAGUAACACGUGGGUAACCUACCCAUCAGAGGGGGAUAACACUUGGAAACAGGUGCUAAUACCGCAUAACAGUUUAUGCCGCAUGGCAUAAGAGUGAAAGGCGCUUUCGGGUGUCGCUGAUGGAUGGACCCGCGGUGCAUUAGCUAGUUGGUGAGGUAACGGCUCACCAAGGCCACGAUGCAUAGCCGACCUGAGAGGGUGAUCGGCCACACUGGGACUGAGACACGGCCCAGACUCCUACGGGAGGCAGCAGUAGGGAAUCUUCGGCAAUGGACGAAAGUCUGACCGAGCAACGCCGCGUGAGUGAAGAAGGUUUUCGGAUCGUAAAACUCUGUUGUUAGAGAAGAACAAGGACGUUAGUAACUGAACGUCCCCUGACGGUAUCUAACCAGAAAGCCACGGCUAACUACGUGCCAGCAGCCGCGGUAAUACGUAGGUGGCAAGCGUUGUCCGGAUUUAUUGGGCGUAAAGCGAGCGCAGGCGGUUUCUUAAGUCUGAUGUGAAAGCCCCCGGCUCAACCGGGGAGGGUCAUUGGAAACUGGGAGACUUGAGUGCAGAAGAGGAGAGUGGAAUUCCAUGGUUAAACCGG
rnacentral:rRNA from 1 species